GAAUAGAUAAAGAAAAUGCGUUCCUCUUCCUCCCUGGCUGCCGGAGGAUCGCCCGCCAUCAUGAACGACACAGUAACUAUCCGGACCAGGAAGUUCAUGACUAACCGACUACUUCAGAGGAAACAAAUGGUCAUUGAUGUCCUUCACCCUGGGAAGGCAACAGUACCAAAGACAGAAAUUAGAGAAAAACUAGCCAAAAUGUACAAGACCACACCUGAUGUCAUCUUCGUAUUUGGAUUCAGAACUCACUUUGGUGGUGGGAAGACAACGGGCUUCGGCAUGAUUUACAUGAUUUUCUUUGGAUUAUGCAAAGAAAAAUGAACCCAAACAUAGACUUGCAAGGCAUGGCCUGUGUGAGAAGAAAAAGACAUCAAGAAAGCAGCAAAAGGAGCGCAAGAACAGACGAAAGAAAGUCAGGGGGACUGCAAAGGCUAUUGUUGGUGCUGGCAAAAAGGCGAAGGGCUAAAGACUCUACAGUGAUGUUAU